UACGUAGGUGGCAAGCGUUGUCCGGAAUUAUUGGGCGUAAAGCGCGCGCAGGCGGUCCUUUAAGUCUGAUGUGAAAGCCCACGGCUCAACCGUGGAAGGUCAUUGGAAACUGGAGGACUUGAGUACAGAAGAGGAAAGCGGAAUUCCACGUGUAGCGGUGAAAUGCGUAGAGAUGUGGAGGAACACCAGUGGCGAAGGCGGCUUUCUGGUCUGUAACUGACGUUGAGGCGCGAAAGCGUGGGGAGCAAACAGG
rnacentral:rRNA from 1 species